rnacentral:lncRNA from 1 species
GCCGCCACUUCCUUUUAUUCCUCUUAUUUUGUGCAACAACAUGGGGGUUUCUCACCAUGGAAAAUUAGAUUAGAUCUGGUUCUACCAUGAAAAAUAAGUGGUUGGGCAUUCCAUAUUUCUUUUGGGUGUGAUUUGAUGAGAGGUGGCGACAAAAGGCAAGUAAGAGUCCAACAAACCUAGGACUCUUCAUCCCCACUUAUUACAUGCCAAUAAAAGGGGCUCUUAUUGUUUGUUUUGUGCAUGUAAGAUAGUAGAGAAGGAGUUCUCUAUGUUAAGGGGCUUGGGUGUGAGUUUAUGGCAUGGAAAAGGGAG